UUGAUUUUUGGAUGUUUGUUUGCAUUCUUUAUUUUGUAAUAAUUACAUCAACUCCUUGUGAGUUGAGUGUUUGAUUUUUUUUUUCUAGUCUCUACUUGUAUUUUGUACUUGUGAGAGUAAAAGUUGUAGUUGUAUUGAUAGAUUUGGGUGCUAUGAUUCAUGUCUGGUUUGUUCAGGCAUGAGGCUUUUAUGCCGAAAUUCCUCUGGCCUUUUGUGGUAUGGAUUAACCCUAUGUGGUUACUAUACUUCCUUAUUUGUAUUACCCAUUUGUGGGCACUUGUAUUUAAUUCCUUGUG
rnacentral:lncRNA from 1 species